ACUCCUACGGGAGGCAGCAGUGGGGAAUAUUGCACAAUGGGCGCAAGCCUGAUGCAGCCAUGCCGCGUGUGUGAAGAAGGCCUUCGGGUUGUAAAGCACUUUCAGUCGUGAGGAAGGUAGUGUAGUUAAUAGCUGCAUUAUUUGUACGUUAGCGACAGAAGAAGCACCGGCUAACUCCGUGCCAGCAGCCGCGGUAAUACGGAGGGUGCGAGCGUUAAUCGGAAUUACUGGGCGUAAAGCGCAUGCAGGUGGUUUGUUAAGUCAGAUGUGAAAGCCCGGGGCUCAACCUCGGAAUAGCAUUUGAAACUGGCAGACUAGAGUACUGUAGAGGGGGUAGAAUUUCGGUGUAGCGGUGAAAUGCGUAGAGAUCGUGAAGGUAAUACCGGUAGGCGGAAACGGCGGCCCCCGUGGACAGAUACUGACACUCAGAUGCGAAAGCGUGGG
rnacentral:rRNA from 1 species